rnacentral:lncRNA from 1 species
AAAAAAAAAAAAAAAAAAAAAAAAUCUAAAAAUAUAUUUUUUACUUUUUACUCGGUAAGAAUCCAGUGAACAGACUGUGAUUCGUUUUGUAGUAUAUAAUUGCUUGAUUCCACUUGUUUCACUUGUUUUGUACUAUUCUUCUUUAGUUCUUGUUGUUUGUUACUUCUAAUUCAUACCACCCAUUACAAAAACUCUCAAUUGAGUCCAUCUUGUAAUUUGGAUUGAAGGGUAGAAUUUUACACUCACAGAUUGCGUUAAUUGUUUCUUUCACAACUUAUUCUAGAUCUGAGAAGCAAGGUGGACUCUUGGUGGUACUAAUCACCUCUUCUUAAUAAAUAGAUAAAGUUGCUACAUUAGAUCUAGUCAUUAUUGCUAAGAUUCAUAUUACAAGUAAGUUCUUUUUCUUUAAUUGAUUUCUUUCAAUGAUUAUUAAAUUCAAUUUAUAAAAAAAGAU